rnacentral:rRNA from 1 species
UACGUAGGGUGCAAGCGUUGUCCGGAAUUAUUGGGCGUAAAGGGCUCGUAGGCGGUCCAUCACGUCGGGAGUGAAAAGCUGGGGCUUAACCCCAGUCCUGCUUCCGAUACGGGUGGACUAGAGGUAGGCAGGGGAGAACGGAAUUCCUGGUGUAGCGGUGAAAUGCGUAGAUAUCAGGAGGAACACCGGUGGCGAAGGCGGCUACCUGGACAGAAACUGACGCUGAGGCGCGAAAGCUAGGGGAGCAAACAGG